CUAAAUGAUGAUUUUUAUUACCGCCCCAGUCUGAUAUUUGUGAAAGAUUGGUUAGGUGCUGAUAUUAA
rnacentral:snoRNA from 14 species